rnacentral:rRNA from 1 species
UGCAAAGGAUCCUUAUUUAAUUAAAUGA